UACGUAGGGGGCAAGCGUUGUCCGGAUUUAUUGGGCGUAAAGAGCGUGUAGGCGGCCAGGUAGGUCCGUUGUGAAAACUCGAGGCUCAACCUCGAGACGUCGGCGGAAACCCUCUGGCUAGAGUCCGGAAGAGGAGAGUGGAAUUCCUGGUGUAGCGGUGAAAUGCGCAGAUAUCAGGAAGAACACCUAUGGCGAAGGCAGCUCUCUGGGACGGUACUGACGCUGAGACGCGAAAGCGUGGGGAGCGAACAGG
rnacentral:rRNA from 1 species